rnacentral:rRNA from 1 species
AUUGAACGCUGGCGGCAUGCCUUACACAUGCAAGUCGAACGGCAGCACGGGUGCUUGCACCUGGUGGCGAGUGGCGAACGGGUGAGUAAUACAUCGGAACAUGUCCUGUAGUGGGGGAUAGCCCGGCGAAAGCCGGAUUAAUACCGCAUACGAUCUACGGAUGAAAGCGGGGGACCUUCGGGCCUCGCGCUAUAGGGUUGGCCGAUGGCUGAUUAGCUAGUUGGUGGGGUAAAGGCCUACCAAGGCGACGAUCAGUAGCUGGUCUGAGAGGACGACCAGCGACAGGGGGAGUGAGAGGCGGCCAAGACACUGAGGGGAGGCACAAGUGGGUAAUUGAGGAAAAUGGGGGAAAGAGUGAACAAGGAAUGCCGGGUGUGUGAAGAAGCGCUUCGGGUUGUAAAACGGUUUUGGGGGAAAAAAAAGCUUGGGCCUGAGACGGGGCGGGGGAUGACGGUACCGGAAGAAGAAGCACGGGCUAACUACGUG